CAACUGCGAUAAGUAGUGUGAACUGCAGAAACCUUGAACACAGAACAUUCGAAUGCACAUUGCGCCAUUGGAGUAACAUCCUUUGGCACGCCUGGUUCAGGGUCGUAAUUCAACAGCGCACAGCGAGUGCGUGCAAAGCUGCGCGAUCAGUGUGUGUGCCCAUACCGCUGUUCGUGCAUUGUGUGUGUGAGGCGCCCGUGUGGUGUCGGACUGUGCUGGCAUGGAACUUGUGAGUGUUUCGUCCAUGUCUUACAAAACCCCGUAACUCGGGCAACACUCACACUCGCUUAAGGGAGCCAAAUGCCUCGGCAUCUAAUUAUCAAAUUUUCGACCUGAACUCAGACGUGAACACCCGCUGAACUUAA
rnacentral:misc_RNA from 1 species